UACGUAGGGUGCAAGCGUUAAUCGGAAUUACUGGGCGUAAAGCGUGCGCAGGCGGUUUUGUAAGCCUGAUGUGAAAUCCCCGGGCUCAACCUGGGAAUUGCAUUGGAGACUGCAAGGCUAGAAUCUGGCAGAGGGGGGUAGAAUUCCACGUGUAGCAGUGAAAUGCGUAGAGAUGUGGAGGAACACCGAUGGCGAAGGCAGCCCCCUGGGUCAAGAUUGACGCUCAUGCACGAAAGCGUGGGGAGCAAACAGG
rnacentral:rRNA from 1 species